AUGGCCGCCAGCCCAGCGCCACUGCACAAGAUGGCUGCCAACCUAGCGCCACAGCACAAGAUGGCAACCAGCCCAGCGCCACUGCACAAGAUGGCCGCCAGCCCAGCCCUACAGCAUAAGGUGGCUGCCAGCCCAGCGCUACAGCACAAGAUGGUCCCCUGCCCAGCGCCACUGCACAAGGUGGCCGCCAGCCCAGUGCCACAGCACACCGUCCAGAGUCGAGUCAGGUCCCCACUGACCAGGUCCCCAUGGUCCCUCCAGAGACGAGUCAGGUCCGUGUUGACCAUCCUGAGUCAGGUCAAGUCACCAUUAACACUCAUGAGUCAAGCACAAUCACAGUUAGACCUCAUGAGUCAAGUUAAGUCACCAAUGGUCUUCAUGGGUAAGGUCAAGUCACCAGUGUUCUUCAUGGGCAAGGUCAAGUCACCAGUGUUCUUCAUGGGCAAGGUCAAGUCACCAGUGUUCUUCAUGAGCAAAGGCAAGUCAUCAGUCAUCUUCAUGAGCAAAGGCAAGUUACCAAUGAUCUUCAUGAGUCAAGUCAAGUCACCGUGGAUCUUCCUGAACAAAGUCAAGCCACAAUUGAUCUUCCUGAACCCAGUCAAAUCACCAUGGAUCUACCAGAGCCUCUUCACGUCUCUGCUGAACUUCCAGAGCCUCGUCACAUCUCUGCUGAACUUCCAGAGCCUUGUCACAUCUCAGCUGAACUUCCUGAGCACUCAUCCUAUCCUGUCAUGGCCAUGGAGACCAUCUACCAUCUCAUCAGGGCCAGGAAGGCCACCCUUAACCUGUUCAUGUUCUCCAUUUCAUGCUUACCUAAACAGACUUGCUCUCCUGUGCCAUCGAUCCCAACGUGGUGGUCUUCUGCGCCGCCCUGGUGGGCUUCUGUCUCGACCGCACGGCUGUGGUGGUCUUCUGCGCCGCCCUCGACCGCACAGCUGUAGUGGUCCUCUGCGUUGCCCUGGUAGGCUUCUGUCUCGACCGCACGGCUGUGGUGGUCUUCUGCGCCGCCCUGGUGGGCUUCGCUCUCGACCGCACGGCUGUGGUGGUCUUCUGCGCCGCCCUGGUGGGCUUCGCUCUCGACCGCACGGCUGUGGUGGUCUUCUGCGCAGCCCUGGUGGGCUUCUGUCUCGUCUGCUCAGCUGUGGUGGUCCUCUGUGCCACCCUGGUGGGCUUCUGUCUCGUCCACACAGAGGUGGUGGUCCUCUGCGCUGCUCUGGUGGGCAUCUGUCUUGUCUGCUCAACUGUGGUGGUCCUCUGCGCCACCCUGGUGGGCCUUUGUCUCAAACGGAAGGUGGUGGUGGUUCUCCCCUGAACUUCCCAUUUCCUCAUGGCCUCUUUGUUUUGUCAUUGUUGUUGUGUUUGUUUGUUUUUUCACUUUCGGUCUCUGUUUCCCUCAAUGGACCUGGUCCUCCAUCCAUCACCCUGGUCCUGUGCCGUCCACCUCCCUCCUGGUCCCUGUUCCCUUCUAUGGUCCUGGCCCUAUGUCACAGUGUCUGGUCUGUGUUUCCCUGGGUGUCCACUAGUGGUGUCACUUCCCCAUAG
rnacentral:lncRNA from 1 species